rnacentral:rRNA from 1 species
UACGGGGGGGGGCAAGCGUUUGUUCGGAAUUACUGGGCGUAAAGGGCGCGUAGGCGGCCUUCUAAGUCAGACGUGAAAUCCCUCGGCUUAACCGGGGAACUGCGUCUGAUACUGGAGGGCUUGAAUUCGGGAGAGGGAUGUGGAAUUCCAGGUGUAGCGGUGAAAUGCGUAGAUAUCUGGAGGAACACCGGUGGCGAAGGCGGCAUCCUGGACCGAGAUUGACGCUGAGGCGCGAAAGCUAGGGGAGCAAACGGGG